rnacentral:rRNA from 1 species
CGAUUGAACGCUGGCGGAAUGCUUUACACAUGCAAGUCGAACGGCAGCACGGGGCAACCUGGUGGCGAGUGGCGAACGGGUGAGUAAUAUAUCGGAACGUGCCCAAUCGUGGGGGAUAACGUAGCGAAAGUUACGCUAAUACCGCAUACGAUCUACGGAUGAAAGCGGGGGAUCGCAGGACCUCGCGCGAAUGGAGCGGCCGAUAUCAGAUUAGGUAGUUGGUGGGGUAAAGGCUCACCAAGCCAACGAUCUGUAGCUGGUCUGAGAGGACGACCAGCCACACUGGAACUGAGACACGGUCCAGACUCCUACGGGAGGCAGCAGUGGGGAAUUUUGGACAGUGGGCGCAAGCCUGAUCCAGCCAUUCCGCGUGCAGGAUGAAGGCCUUCGGGUUGUAAACUGCUUUUGUACGGAACGAAACGGUCUGCCCUAAUACGGUGGGCUAAUGACGGUACCGUAAGAAUAAGCACCGGCUAACUACGUG